UUGACCUCAAAUCAGGUAGGACUACCCGCUGAACUUAAGCAUAUCAAUAAGCGGAGGAAAAGAAACUAACAAGGAUUCCCCUAGUAACUGCGAGUGAAGCGGGAAAAGCUCAAAUUUAAAAUCUGGCGGUCUUUGGCUGUCCGAGUUGUAAUCUAGAGAAGUGCUAUCCGCGCUGGACGGCAAAC
rnacentral:rRNA from 1 species